AUGCUCAUUUCGGCAGCACAUAUACUAAAAUUAGAAUGAUACAGAGAAGAUUAGCACAGCCCCUGUGCAAGGAUGACAUGGAAAUUUGUGAAGCAUUCCAUAUAACU
ensembl:snRNA U6 U6 spliceosomal RNA